rnacentral:rRNA from 1 species
GGUUAAGUGACUAAGCGUACAUGGUGGAUGCCUUGGCAGUCAGAGGCGAUGAAGGACGUACUAACCUGCGAUAAGCCGUGAGCAGUCGGUAAGAGACAUUACGACUCACGGAUUUCC